UACAGAGGGGGCGAGCGUUGUUCGGAAUUACUGGGCGUAAAGGGCGCGUAGGCGGCCUUCUAAGUCGAACGUGAAAUCCCCGGGCUCAACCCGGGAACUGCGUCCGAUACUGGGAGGCUUGAAUCCGGGAGAGGGAUGUGGAAUUCCAGGUGUAGCGGUGAAAUGCGUAGAUAUCGGGAGGAACACCGGUGGCGAAGGCGGCGACCUGGGUGGAUACUGACGCUGAGGCGCGAAAGCGUGGGGAGCAAACAGG
rnacentral:rRNA from 1 species